rnacentral:lncRNA from 1 species
GAGCAAAAUCUGCUUCUGCUGCAUUAAAGUACAAUGCCAUCUCUCAGCAGGCAAAUGGUAAAGGUUCUUCUACCUCCCUAGGCAGGAAAGAAGCAGUCGGUACUUUAGCCGCCGCACACUAUGUCGCCGCCGAGAAGUCCAUCAAGAAGGCCGAAACCGCCAAGACACCUGCAAAGGCCGUGGCUGCCAAGCGAGACGCGGCAAAGUCUGUUGACGAUGCAUUAAAGAAUGGUGCCAUCUCUCAGAAAACAGCUGGUACAAGUUCUUCUACCUCCCCCAAUAGGAAAGAAGGCACCACUGCUGCUGCUAAGAUGUUCACCAAGAAGGCUGAAACCGCUACCACACCUGAAGAGGUCGCGGCUGCCAAGCGAGCUGCAGCCAAGUCUACCGCUGCUGCAUCAAAGUAUGGUGUCAUUUCUCAGCAAGCGCCUGGUACAAGUUCUUCUACCUCCCCUAGCAGGAAAGAAGUUGCCGGUACCUUGGCAGAUGCUCGCAUAGCUGCUGCCGAGAAGUCCAUCAAGAAGGCUGAAACCGCCACCAGACCUAAAGAGGCAGCAAAGAAGGAUGCCGCGAAAUCUGAGGCUGAUGCAAUGAAGUACGGGGCCCUCUCUCAGCAGGCCGCCGGCAAAAAUGGUGCCUAAGUGGUGCCUUAAACAC